rnacentral:sRNA from 1 species
AACAUGAGCCAUGUUGCAGAUGAAGAAACUGACCCACACGGUGAGACAAGCACAGAGCAGAUUGGGAGUUGCCUGUAUUAUUCCUGAACCCUCCUUGAACUCAUGGUCCUGGGGAAGGCGUCUUGGAACCAGAAACAGCAACAGGAAAGGAGCCUCCCUCUGAAGGGUAGGGUGCCGGCCUGAGGCCCUCCCUCUUUGCUCUCCCAGGGCCUGGGCUACCCCGAGGCCCCAGCAGCUGCUGCUGUGGCUGUACUUGCUUUUAAUAUUUCCCAUACAUGGCUGUUGUCCAAGUUAAGUCACCAAAUGGUGCUAGAGGGGAUGGCAGAGAGCAGCUUGUCCACCUCCUCUCCAUGACCCGGUUAACACACGAGGAAACAGGCCUAGAGGUUGUCUGCUGUUUGACCCCUUCUAAGAACCAGCUGUGCUGCAUCUACAAAAUGAAGAUGACAGAGCUAGUUGAGGUCUUCAGCAAGGAAGAAAGGGGUCAGUGUAUAUGAAAGGGUUACCUGGGCAGUGUCAUUCCCUCCAUCUCUGUAUGCAGCCCUUUGGGGACCAUCACAAUAAGGAAGAGGUGAAGGCUCUACUGCCCAGGCAAGGUGUUACCAUGUGGUGGGAAAGUGUGAACCCUCAAGUGCACUGGGAAGCUUUGGGGAACCAGUCUCUUCCACCCUUGGGUCAUGUGUCCCCUUCUCUUGAUGUCAGGGAAGCCCCUAUGCCUCCUUCCCGUGGUGGGGCUAUCUCUGCAGAGAAUUGGGUGCCCAGCUUAAUGCUGGGCAAGGACUGGAGGAAGCUCCAGACCUGGAGGUGGCAGAGAUACUGGAUGGAAACCUGGAGCAAGGGUUUGGGAGGGGGAAGUGAGGAAACAGGUUGAGACUAUCUCCAUCAGAGAUGGCAAGGCCACAGGUGAUCUGAGAACUAUUUUUGUCUGAAAAGAAGGCAUGCACAGGCUGUCUGCUUUUGACAGGUGGCAUUGCGGUGGGAGGAAGGCAGCUUCCUGGCAGGGAGAUAGAAAUACUAGAACAGCUGGUACCAAGUUAUUGAAAAUUUAAAAGCAAACAAGACACAACAGCCCCCAGGUGGUGUGUUCUGCUGAGGAAGGCUACGGCAGAGGAAGGGCAAGACCAUUUCCCCCAGUGGUCUUGAAACCGGAAGAGGAAACAGGGAGGGCUCUUUGGGUGGUUUGGGGGCCUGGGGCUGUUUGUAUCCCAGUAUUAGCUCCCGUUACUAA